rnacentral:rRNA from 1 species
UACGAAGGGUGCAAGCGUUACUCGGAAUUACUGGGCGUAAAGCGUGCGUAGGUGGUUUGUUAAGUCUGAUGUGAAAGCCCUGGGCUCAACCUGGGAAUUGCAUUGGAUACUGGCAGGCUAGAGUGCGGUAGAGGGUAGUGGAAUUCCCGGUGUAGCAGUGAAAUGCGUAGAGAUCGGGAGGAACACCAGUGGCGAAGGCGGGUCUCUGGGCCGAUACUGACGCUGAGGAGCGAAAGCGUGGGGAGCGAACAGG